rnacentral:lncRNA from 1 species
AUUCAUUUUUGUAUUUUACACUCCUGACAGCUGAUGCCCGGCUGCAGCUUGCUCCUUGGGAGCCCGUGUGCCGUGUGGUUUCCGAGUGAGGCCUCUUUCUGACACUGCCUACUGAUUGUGCUGCAUAAAGAAUGCUAUCACCUCGAGGGGUCAUGUUAAUGAGCGACUCCUUUAUCAAUAAUAGAUAGAACUCGUCAGUGCCAGCCUUCAAAUUUGAGCCUAUCUGCAAACUGUCUGCAUUUGACCAGGGAGUUUCUCUUGCUCUCGUGUCUUACGGUGACUGCUACACAGCACAGACCCUGGCUGUUCUGCGUGUGGGGAGAGAUGAACGCCUGCUUUGUUCUCCAGAGGCAGGCCAGGAAAGCUGCUGUUGCAGGAAGCAGACGGAUGGACUGACAUUUACAACUUAUGCUUUUCUGGUGGAGAAACUGAG